AGUAAAAGUCCCUUCACACCACUGCAGGAUACAGCAUCCCAAAACGUGAGAGACAAAGGGACCACGUGAGAGACAAAGGGACCACGAACCUCCUGCCUGCUACUGUAGGCGGAAGACGGACAAACUCAGUGACAUUGAGUUCCCAGCCAACCUUCAGCCAUGAAGAUUCUGUUUCUUCUCUUUGCUGUCUUCCUCCUGGUGCCAGAAAGCUCCGCUGGAUUCGACCGUUUUUUCCUGGGGUACCGUGACUGUCGGAAGUCGGGGGGUUACUGUUUCCGUGAAUGUUUUGAACCAUAUUUAUUGAUUGGAAAGUGCAAUAAUGUAAAGGAGUGCUGUAAAUUGAGGAAUAGCAGAAAGUGAGCGAUGGCAGUGAAGAUUGUCAAUGGAAGAUUUCUGGGAAUCUGGCAGUCAAUGCCUGGCUUCUAAAGUCUUUGGACGCUUUUCUUCUGGGCUCCAAAGAACCUUGCAAACCUUCAAAUCCACAUGGGAGCCCCUGUGUCACUUCUACUAGAUUCUUCUUCAACUUCUAAUAAAAGUAGCUCACUGUA